CCCUGACCUCUGAUCUACAUCCUGAAUGUGGGUCACACGGAGCUAAAAGAAGCAGCUGUGUGUCUGGGGGGUAAAAAUGGCUGCUGACCUUUUGACUUGGAGGCUACUUGACUGUGUCUAAAAGAGAGACCACUCCUUCGCCGCAGGAGAAAUCCCAAACUGCACCGUCACUCCGUCUCAGAGGAAGACCUGCAGAUGUUGGGUUCGUUAUCGGAGCUCCUUUUGUCUGACGUCUUGGGGAUUCUGCAGAGUUUGAGUCUGGUCUGAGUUUAAGGUUUAUUAAAGGGAAGGAGAGGACGAAGACGCCGGCGUGAGGAGCUGAUUUAAAGUGAGUCUGUGCAUGGACGUGUCAGUGUCAAAGGUUUGGAUUAAGUGAAGUUGCAUGAAACCGUUACAACAUUUUAUUUCCUUCCUUUUCUGUUUUACAUCCUUUCUUAACUUCUCUCCCUUCCCUCUCAUAGUCUUUGAUUCUUUCUGCCUUUCCCUCCAACUUUUCUCUUUUUUUAUCUGUUCUCAUCUUUCCCAUUUUCUGUUUCCCAAACCAUUAUUCUUUCUUUAUUCGUCUGUGAGCCUUUUUUUUAUUGUUUUUUUUAAUUGUUUUCUUCGUUCUACUACGUUUCCCCCCUUUCAUUCUUUAUUCAUAUUCCCAUUUUUUCCAUCCUUAAUUGAUAAUAUCACUCGUUUCCUCUUUUAUCUGAGGCCCCUUCUUUUAAUUUCAUACCCCACCUCCUUCAAUCCAGCCUUAAUGCAUGCUCCCUUCAAUCCAUCCUUGAUUUCUGUUCCUUCCCAUCCAUCCUUGUUCCCUUUUAUCCAUCCUUGUUCACUUCCAUCCAUACUUUCUCUAUGUUUCUUUCCAUCUAUCUUUUUUCCAUGUUCCCUUUUUCCAUCUCGCCUUGGUCCAUGUCUACUUUCAUCCAUUAUGGAUCCAUCUUUCCUUGAUCAGUGUUCCAUCCUUUUAUCUUUCCUUGAUCCUUGUUCUCUUCUUUUUAUUUAUCCUUGAUCUAUGUUCUCUUCCAUCUUUCCUUGAUCCAUUUUCCUUUACCCUUGGUCCAUCUUUUCUUCCAUCUAUCCAUCCUUGAUCAGUGUUCCCUUCCUCUUAUCCAUCCUUGAUCCUUGUUCUUCUCCUUUUAUCCAUCCUUGAUCCAUCUUCUCUUCCUUUUAUCUAUUCUUUAUCAUGUUUUCCUUCCUCCAUCCAUCCUUGAUCGAUGUUCCUCUCAGGUCAAACACUGUUACCUACUUUCCUUCCAUCCUUUUUUCCUUGCUUCUUUUUUCCUUGCUUAGAUCUAACUUUUCCAUUUUCCUUCUAUUAAUAUGAUCUCCUGCUUUACCCACUUCCUUAUCCUCUUUCCUUUUAUCCUUUUAUUUAUUCCUCCUUCAUUAUUUUUGUCCUUUUUUCGUGUUUCUCUCUAUUUCUGUUUCCUUCCCUGCACUUCAGUUUUUUCCAUCCUUGUGUCUCUUACUGAUCUUUUUCUGUCCUUGUUUCCUAGUUCCUUGUUUUCUGACUCAUCCAUCCUGUUGAACACAUGCUUUCAUUCUUCAGUACUGAUAAAUCCAACAGUCUGAUCUUAGGGGUUCCUGAGAGUUUUACGCUCAUAACAGAGAGAUGGAGAAAGGAGAGCAGCAUGAGUACAAGUUAGAGAGGGAAGAAAAAAGGGGGGAAUCUAUAGGAGGAUGAAAACAGUGGGCGGCCGUGACCUUUUCCCCACAUCGACUCAGAGCUGACUUAUAUAAGCAGCGUGUAGAUUACUCUUACACAACGCAGAAACACAAAGAGAGAUGAAGAAGAAAUAUUUCUGAACAAAAACUCUUUCUUUUCAACGUUUACACGGCAAACUUCACGACUCACGACACGGCGCCUGAAACAUGGACCUCACUGAUACCAGGAUACAGAAACUGAGCCACAACAAGUAUCAGCUCACAAGACGACCACAUGAACGAAACAUCAUGAGAUCUGAUUAAUUCAAUCACACAAAACGCCCCUGAAGGGUAAAGAAGGAGAUCAGGACAUCAGAGCGGCCAAGAGGAGAAACGAAGGAAAUCUGUUUAAAACACACAUUACAAAAAGAGAACAGACAUGAUAUGAUAACUGCACAGAAAUAUACUGCAGUAUCAAUAUUCUACAUCAUCUCUACUGAAGGAUAGAGUGUGAGGAAAUGAGAAAACAAAAACAUGAGUUUCUAGUUUGUCCAUUCUGUGCUACUGUAGGAAUAUUAUAUCUGUGCACAGGGACCUCAACAAACAAACAAACAAGCAAAGAUAUAUCAUGUCGCAUGUCUUCUAUGUCUCUUCUGCUAAAUGCCUCCACAUUAUAAUCACUGCACUUUAAAUAGAUUUGCACAAUUAAUUUUUCUUUUGAUAAAACAACAACAACAACCACAAAACGAGUAAACAGUGGGUGGGGGUGGUGUUGUUUUUGUAAUGCAGCUGGUGAAAACCUGAAAGACAGACGAGUAACCGGAUGAAUCAAAUCCUCUGAGGUUGAAGGAGGAGAAUCAUGUUGAGAAAACUGUCUGUCCGUGUAGAGCAGACCAGUCUAGCUGGUGUAGUUUCAUUAACAGGGAAGACGUCCUGCUGUAGGAGACAUUUAUGAAUGAGCACAGUGAAAUAUUCUGAGGGUAGAGCUCCUCAACAUUUCAGUGUGGCAUAUUGUGACAAAAACACUGAAGACAAACAUAAAUCGCUGUUUUCUGGCUCUUCAGUUUACAGUUUCUCACAUCCUACAUGGCUGCUGUUGGUUUUGUUCAGUGUAACUGUGUCAGACAUGAUACAGCAGAGCUCAGAGUGAGGAUUCAAUCAGCCUCAGUGUGAGAAUGAAGGUCACCUACUUACUAAACACCACGCUGCCUCCGAGCUGAGAAAGGCUUUAUCACUACAGCACAGACCGUCUGUUUUCAUCCCAGCAUGACCGAGCGAAGAGAACCACAGCUUUAACUCUCCUCUCUGACCUGAACUCAGCUUAAACUGACAUGUGUGAGAAUUAAUCCCCAUAAAUACAUCUUUUUUCUGAGCAUGCUCAGUUAACGCUCUAUGAUUCAUGAUGGCUCACGAUUUUAAUCAAACUCUAUUUGCAGAAGCAUGUAACUAAAAUGGAUCUCACAUCUGCUGAUCCUGAAAAACAAAAACGAGGACAACUGUAAAAGAAAAAAACAAUCAAACUGAGGCUGUCAAAACAGAACCAUGACCCCUGAACUCAUCUUAUCUUAAAAAAUGACCAACUGUCAGCACAGACCCUCCAGUCAAACACUCUGACUGUUAACACACUGAACUGACCAACACAAACAUUUGCAGCUCAGUCUGAAGGUUGUUGACUUCAGGGAAAAGUCCGAUUUUUCGCUCAUCACCGUCAUUUCCCUGCAGAGAAUCCUACAUCUCUGUUUUAUCUGCUCUAACCUGAUUUCUGAUCAACCUGACCGACUUUAACCACACAUCAGAAACCUGGUCAAUCAGUUAAAUUUAAAUUAAAAAAGUAUUUUUGUUUAAUUGACUAAAAACUAACAUUUGGGGUUCAUGAAUUAUUAAUGAUUACGUAUAAAGGCAAAAAUAAAUGUACUUGGAAAUCCGAGUGACUCGUUUUGUAACAUCCAAAAGGGGAACACCUGAGACCUUGUACGAUGACACAGACCAAACACUGCGUAUCUAAUAAUAGCAUGGUCAGUGUUAAGGUCAAAGGUUAGACAAACUGUCCCCGCGUUCAUCGGAAUUAUCUUCUCUGUUUGCUUUUUACCAGUUCAGACCUUCAGCUCAGAGCCAAACUUUCCCCUCUUUUCUAUUAGACUCUUAUUUUCAACAGGUGGCGCUGUGCUCUCUGUCUGCUCUACCUGUUACCUGUUUUUGAGUUUUCUCCAAACCUCACACCACAAACAUAAACGAAUGAGUAUAAAUGAUUAAAGUCCGAGGGUUCAAACAGACAAUCACUAAAUGACUGCAGAACGAAUACAGCAGAUCUCCACAAACAAACAGCUUCAUGAAGAAAAACUCCAGACAUCCAUCAUAAAGCACCCUGAGUCCUAUUAAAAUAUCAGAUAAUAAAAAUAACAAUACUACUACUACUACUACUACUAAUAAUAAUAAUAAUAAUAAUAAUUAUUAUUAUUAUUAUUAUAUUUAUAUCGCACUUUUUCAAAAACAAGAGCUUUACAAAGUGCUUUAACUUGCAGGAAAACAAAGAAGAUGAAAAAAAACAUAACAAAAACAAGAGAACACUUGGAGGAAGUUACGCAUUACUGGCAAUAAAGAAUUAAAAAAAUAAAACAAAAAGACAUUAAAACAAAGACAUUAUAAGAGCCUAUGAUACCCGGCCAACACAGGAACCCAAUCCCAAAAACCUGAGACCAAGGGGACGAUUAUAAAACAGAAAUAAGAAGAGUAAAAAGUUUUAAAGAAGACAAAAUCACACAAAAGCAAGUCUAUAAAAAUGAGUUUUAAAACGUGAUUUAAAAGCAGGGACUGUUUCUGAACACCUGAUCUCCUCAGGGAGGUCGUUCCAAAGUCGAGGGGCCCUGAUGGAAAAGACCCCGUCACCUUUAGUUACAUGUCUCGACUUUGGAGCGACCAGGAGGUCCAGGCUGGCUCAUAGGGGGUUAAAAGUUCUGAUAGAUUGGAGUCAGAAUCUUUUCUGCCUUAAAAGUAAUGAGUAAAAUCUUAAAAUUAAUUCUAAAACUAACUGGAAGCCGAUGUAAAGAUGCUAAAAUAGGGCUGAUGUGAUGAGCUGCUGCUUUCUGGACAAGUUAGAUAGAGUAAAGUUUGGCUGAUUAAAGAUAAAAAAAACUCCUGCAUGAGUCGUCUGCUGAUCCUAAACAGGUCUGAUCUCUCUCCUCUGUCUGUCUGUUUGUCCAUCUGUCUGUCUUUCCGUUUGCCCGUCUGUCCAGGAUGUUGACCCUGUAGGUUCAGUGACCUCCAUACCUCCAACACGCCAUGAGCAGCAUCAACUCUCCGGCCUGUCUGCUCGCACGCAACCACUUCUACAGAAGUAAGACCCUCACACACACACUGACUGUAACAUGGGCUCACUCUUAAGUUAGCAUGUUUUAGGACCACUGCUUCAGCCGAGCGAAUCACACAAACGAAAAGAAAUCCACAGAGGAGUCGAGGAAGAGAGACAGGGAGUGUGAGAGCAAAAGAAAGAUAAAACCCUGUUUACAAGUAUCACAAAACAUGAAUCUUUGAGACAGGACCUGCAGAAACAGACAAUAAGAGACCGCUCCAGUCAGUCAGAAGUGGUAAAACGCUCCUUUUUUCAACAAUACCUCAUCUUUUAGUUCAGACUUCCUCAUUCUGCCUCAACAUGUUUGUAAAAGAGGAAGAAAAUAUUAAAAUUAGUACAAAGGUUCUGUUUUAUGUGGAGAUGUCGGCACGUGUUUCCAUCGUGCAGGGGUAAAGGUGGCACCACACUGCAAGACCAUGCAUACCCUCACUGACAGUCCUGCACUCUGAACAUUGACCUCUGACCUGAAUGAGUCAUGUUACCUCCUGGAGAGAAAAAACAUCCACAUGUCAGUGAAGUGUUUACUGGUGUUUACUGGACCCAGUCGUUAUUUUUAUCACUGGCUGUGUUAGAAAUCUCAGUUUCUGCUGUUUAUAUUGAUAAAUAAAUAUGUCUCCAUUAUUCACAUUAACUUGAUUUUACAUCCUUCAAAAAAAGAGAAGAAGAAAAGGAAGAGAAACUAAAUGACUCAAAAAAAAAUGAACACACAAGAUUUAAAUAUCCCCACACACACACACACACGUGGAUCCACACUCUGCACACACACACAUACAGAGUCAGCACUUACGCAGCGCUAAGGCGUAGUGUCGUGCUUUUUGUGUACUUGAUUCACACGUUCAGCACGUCUCGUCUUCUGUCGGCAGCAAAACAAGGCGAGCAGGAACAGACACACUGACAUGAUUACAGUCUGACCUCGUCUGCUCUCUCUAACAACUUAACAGCUACUCUAACCUGAGAGGAACUUUAACCGGAGAGAGAAAAACAUGUUUCUGACACGGUUUCUGGAUGAGAGCCCAGAACAGUGAGAUUCAUGUUCGAACUCACCCUGAGAGACACGCAACAUGACAACAGAACGAUUCAGAGAGAGAGCUGUGAUGUGACGCAGAUUUCCCUGUCGAUGUUUUGACUUUGAUAUCCGUUCUUAGUCAGAUUACACUCUUUAACCUCUGCUUGGUUCAUGUCUGUCGUCUCUUUCUCAGAUACGACCUCCAGUCCGGAGCACAUGAAGUCUGUGUUCAGCCAUCAGAGCGCCUCCGUCAGACACAAACAGAGACAAAUCACCAUCUGGGUCACCAUGACAACACCUCCAGGUAAACAAACAGUCUAAUGUUUCGAGAAGUCCUUCUGCCUUGUCAUGACCAGUCUACCAAGACAUGUCAAAAGGAGGAGAUAAACACAGUCAGUCAGAAACGAUGAGUGAGAAACAGAGGCAGAGUGGUGGACUAAGGACCAGGUACCCCCAGGUUCAGCUAAACUCCACCUACAAAACCAACAACACAGAAGAAGACACACAAAAGCAUGCUUCACUAAGCUGUCAACAUCCCUUAUCAAUACCUUCCACUUUAUUCGGAGUGCUUCGCAAAAACAACGACAUGACACAAUAUUAGCAUUUCUAACAGGUCACCGUGACGACAAACAUGUUUUUAACAGUCCAUGGAUGUCGUGGAUCUCCUCAUACUUUGGAAAAGAAACUAAAGUUGUAGAAAGUGAUGAAAUCAGACGGAGGGCCAGUUCACUGACUCAUGUUUCCUCUCUAAAAUCCAUCCAAACAAACGGAUCCAAAAACAUUAUCUAUAAACAUCAGAUUUAGAGCAGAGUUUCCAUUUUUAACCAGCAGAUGUUUGUCCUCCUCCAAAAGUCAGUCCCUGGAGUUUCAGCAGUUUUUGGCUGUUUUGUGUAAACCAGUUAGUAGGUGGUUCUGAAUGCAGCCCACAAAGGUAUGCCUGUGCUCAGUAAGUAGGUCAGUUUUAUUCCUGUCAAAGUGCCGAUUUUACUAUCCGCUCAAGUCCGACUGGUUUCACAGACAUGUUUACUUUUGUCACAGACUCUGCCUGGUGUUUUUCUAUAGUUUUCACAAAAACAUCCUGUGAAAUGUCCAGAACUGACUCUCAGUACUUCUUGAUUUCUGUCUGUGGCAGAACAUCUAUUUUAGACAAAUUAAAUCUUCAUUGAUUUGCACAUUAACCAUUGAAGGUCACAAAUGUCAUGUAGAGAACAACAGAGACUCUUUGUGUUCCCAGGAUUUCCAGGUGGAACUGGGACCAAAGAAUUGUGGGUGGACAUUGUCCUGGGGUCCAAACCAACAAGCCCUGCAAACCAAGGCGUCAAGUAGAAGGAAACAAGCGCCAAAGGACUAAAAGAAAGUUGAGAAAUCACCUAACUUCGAGAUUCUACGACCUCCUCUCAGCUGAUCAGAUUCGAACAACCGAGGUCAAAUGGACAAAAGUAAACAAGGUGGACAAUUUUAACCUACAAGAGACACUUUGGUGUCAAACAUCAGGUAAAAACCUGGAGUUUGAACCUCAAACCUGAGAUGUGGGUCAAGCCUCUUAAAUAUUUGGGUGGAGUCAGGUGGGAAUUUCAACGUCAUGACUUGAUGACUGUAUUUCUUUGUAUGCUGGCUUUGACCAAUUGUCUGUUCAAGGCCUGCAGCGAGUUCAAAGCUGCUGCUCAAGUCCUGACUGGAAAAAAAGGAGAGCCAACAUUAAACUUCUGAUGAUUACCCUCCACUGGCUUUCUGCAGGAUUUCUACAGGACUGGCACUGCCCUACUGAACUUCCUGGUGGACGAAACUGGUCAUUUUUCAAGCAAAAAGAAC